rnacentral:rRNA from 1 species
AUGCAGUACUGAUCCCUGGAAGGCGUAGAAGAGAUCCUCCACGACAAGGUGCGCGUGGACUGUCUCGACAGAACGCUUGAGCGUGGCCACACCAAGACUUUUAUCUACUGGCUCUCGGCAUGGGAUGUCGCCCACAUCCCCACCAAGCACAUGAUGUGGGUGCUGCCGUGCGGCGCUGGAAGGGUGGAGGAGAUGCAGGGCUUCUUACCGCCCGACCGCCGGGUGGCGCCGCCGCCCGGAGCAACGCGGUACGGCAUGCUCAUCCAUGUGGAUCGAGUCGAAGUUUGGUCCCCUCCUUCACCGCGUUCAUCGCACUCGGGGCAGAUCGGCUUGCCGUCUUCCAGCUCCGACGAGGGCGAUGCGCCGUUCCCCACGUGA